rnacentral:rRNA from 3 species
UAAAUCCAGUUGAUCCUGCUGGAGGCUGCUGCUAUUUGGAUACGAAUUAGCCAUGCAAGUUUCUCGCAAGAGAGCGAACUGCUCAGUAACACGUAGUUAACUUGCCCUAAGGUUCAGGAUACCCUCGGGAAACUGAGGACAAUACUGAAUAGAGGAUUUUUCUGGGAUGAUUUUUCCUUGAAACAUUAGGCCUUAGGAUAGGACUGCGGUUGAUUAGCUAGUUGGUGGUGUAAUGGACCACCAAGGCGAUGAUCAAUAGGGGCCAUGAGAGUGGGAGCCCCGAGAAGGACUCUGAGACACUAGUCCUAGCCCUACGGGGUGCAGCAGGCGCGAAAAUUCUGCAAUGCACGAAAGUGUGACAGAGGUAUCCAAAGUGAUUCUCUUAGAGAAUCUUUUAUUUACUUUAAAACGGUAGAUGAAUAAGGACUGGGCAAGACCGGUGCCAGCCGCCGCGGUAAUACCGGCGGUCCAAGUGGUGGCCAACUUUAUUGGGUCUAAAACAUCCGUAGCCCGUAUAAAAAGUCUCUUGUGAAAUUGUUGCGCUUAACGUAACAUCGUGCAAGAGAAACUCUUAUACUGGAGACCGGGAGACGUAACGAGUACACCUGGAGUAGUGGUAAAAUACUUUGAUCCCUGGUGGACUAACAAUGGCGAAGGCACGUUACGAGAACGGUUCUGACGGUGAGGGAUGAAAGCUAGGGUCGCGAAAUGGAUUAGAUACCCAUGUAGUCCUAGCUGUAAACGCUGUACACUAAACAUUGUGAUCUCCUUGGGAGAUUGCAGUGCUGAAGGGAAGCCGUUAAGUGUACUACCUGGGAAGUACAGCCGCAAGGUCGAAACUUAAAGGAAUUGGCGGGAGAGCACUACAAGGAGUGACGUGUGCGGUUUAAUUAGAUUCCACCCCGUGAACCUCACCAGGAGCGACAGCAGAAUGAAGGUCAGUCUAAAGGGCUUACCUAACACGCUGAGAGAAGGUGCAUGGCCGACGUCAGCCUGUGUCGUGAGAUGAUCUGUUAAAUCAGGUAACAGGCGAGACCCGUGUGUGUUGUUGCGAUUCUGUACGAAAGCACACUACACAGACCGCCUUGGCAACAAGGAGGAAGGUGCGGGCUACGUUAGGUGAGUACGCCUCGAAUCCCCUGGGCUACACGCGCACGGCAAUGGCAGCAGCAAUGAGAUGCAACUCCGAAAGGAGGAGCUAAUCCCCUAAACGCUGUCUCAGUUCAGAUUGAGGAUUGCAACUCAUCCUCAUGACGCUGGAAUUCCUAGUAAUCGGGUGUUAGCAACGCCCGGUGAAUAAGUCCCUGCUCUCUGCACACACCGCCCGUCAAACCAACCGAGUUGUGUUUGGAGGAAGUUCGAAAGGAAAAGACUUUAAGCACGACAAGGUAGGUUAAGUCGUCACAAGGUAUCCGUAGGGGAACCUGCGGAUGGACCACCUCCUAU